rnacentral:rRNA from 1 species
AGAGUUUGAUCCUGGCUCAGAACGAACGCUGGCGGCGUGCUUAACACAUGCAAGUCGAACGCGAAAAUUUUCCUCGGAAAGUGAGUAGAGUGGCGCACGGGUGAGUAACGCGUAAGUUAUCUACCUCGGCAUUCGGAAUAACUCACCGAAAGGUGUGCUAAUACCGGAUACGUUGAGUAAUCAAGAAAGGUGGCCUCUGAAUAUGCUACUGUGCUGAGAUGAGCCUGCGUACCAUUAGCUAGUUGGUAGGGUAAUGGCCUACCAAGGCAACGAUGGUUAGCGGGUCUGAGAGGAUGAUCCGCCACACUGGAACUGAAACACGGACCAGACUCCUACGGGAGGCAGCAGUGAGGAAUAUUGCGCAAUGGGGGAAACCCUGACGCAGCGACGCCGCGUGGAUGAUGAAGGCCUUCGGGUUGUAAAGCUCUUUCAGCCGGGAAGAAAACGCAUGGGUUAAUACCCUGUGUGGAUGACGGUACCGGAAUAAGAAGCACCGGCUAACUACGUGCCAGCAGCCGCGGUAAUACGUAGGGUGCGAGCGUUAAUCGGAAUUACUGGGCGUAAAGCGUGCGCAGGCGGUUUGUUAAGAUAGGCGUGAAAUCCCCGGGCUCAACCUGGGAACUGCGUUUAUGACUGGCAGGCUAGAGUAUGGCAGAGGGGGGUGGAAUUCCACGUGUAGCAGUGAAAUGCGUAGAGAUGUGGAGGAACACCGAUGGCGAAGGCAGCCCCCUGGGCCAAUACUGACGCUCAUGCACGAAAGCGUGGGUAGCAAACAGGAUUAGAUACCCUGGUAGUCC